GGUGGUCAUCAGGCCCUAGGUUGACACAUAGGCCUCAGGUAGACAACAGGCACAGGUGAACUUCAGGCUCCAGAUGAACGUCGGGCUCCAGGAAGAAAUCUGUGCCCCAGUUAAACACCGGGUCUUAGGUAGACAUCAGGCCUCAAAUGGAUGCCCAGGCCCCAGGUGGAUAUAAGGCCUCAGGCAAACACCAGGCCCCAGGUAGACAUUAGACACGAGAUGGACACUCAAGCCACAAGCGAACAUCUGUCCCCAGGUGGACAUCCACCCAAGGUGGACAUCAGGCCAGAGAUGUACACCCAGGCCCCAGGAGAACCCCAGGCCCCAGGAGGACACUCAAGUGCCAGAAGGACACCCAGUCCCUAGGUAACUACAAGGCCCCAAGUGGACAUGAUGUUCCAGAUGGAUAUGAGGCCCCAAGUGGAUACUAGGCCCAGGUGGACCCAGAUCUCAGGGGCACACCAGGCCCCAGGGGAACACCAGGCCCUAGGUAAGCAUGCAGUCCCAGGUGGACAUCAGUUGCCAGGAGGACACCAGGACCCAGUUGCUCAUCAAGCCACAGCUGAACACCAGUUCCCCAUGAACACCAGUCCUCAGGUGGGCACCUAGUCCUCUUGUGUGCAUCAGGUGCCAGGCUGACAUAGGCACCAGCUGAACUCUGGGCCUCAGGUGAACAUCAGAUCCCAGGUUGUCACCCAGGCCCCAGGUGAACACCAGGUUUUAGGUGGACAUGAGGUCCUAGGUGGAUGUCUAUGCUCCUGGUGAACCUCAGGCCCUAGUGGACACUCAGGCCCUUUAUAGACAUCUGGCUCCAUGUGCACUCCCAGGGCCCAGGUAGACAUGAGGCCCCAGAGGAACGCCAGUCCUUAAUCACCUAAGACUGAAUUCCCCUAGGGCUGGAGACUGAGUAUUCACCUUGGGCCAAGGAAUCUACCUGAGGCCAGAUGUCAAUCUGGGGCCUGAUGUCUACUCAGGUUCAGCUGUCCACCUAGGGCAGGGUGUUUUUCUGGGACCCAGAGUCUACCUGAAAUCUUGGUAUCAACCUAGGGCCUAUGUGUCCACUUGGAGUCUGAUGUGCACCUGAAGCCUGAGUUUUCACCUGGGAUCUGAUGAGCACCUGGGGCCCAGGUUUCCAUCUGAAAC
rnacentral:lncRNA from 1 species